CUCUUGAGAGCGGCGGACGGGUGAGUAAAGCCUAGGAAUCUGCCUGGUAGUGGGGGAUAACGCUCGGAAACGGACGCUAAUACCGCAUACGUCCUACGGGAGAAAGCAGGGGACCUUCGGGCCUUGCGCUAUCAGAUGAGCCUAGGUCGGAUUAGCUAGUUGGUGAGGUAAUGGCUCACCAAGGCGACGAUCCGUAACUGGUCUGAGAGGAUGAUCAGUCACACUGGAACUGAGACACGGUCCAGACUCCUACGGGAGGCAGCAGUGGGGAAUAUUGGACAAUGGGCGAAAGCCUGAUCCAGCCAUGCCGCGUGUGUGAAGAAGGUCUUCGGAUUGUAAAGCACUUUAAGUUGGGAGGAAGGGCAUUAACCUAAUACGUUAGUGUUUUGACGUUACCGACAGAAUAAGCACCGGCUAACUCUGUGCCAGCCGCCG
rnacentral:rRNA from 1 species